CAAUAACAAAAAGAUCAAGAGCUGUCUUUAAAAUGGGGAAAAUGUUUGACUAGAAACUUCAUAGAGGAAGAUAAACUAAUGGCCAAGAAACACACAAAAAAAACACUCAACAUCAUCUGUCAACAGGGAAAUGCAAAAUGAAAUCUGCAAUGAAACACUAACACCCACCCACCAGGAUAGCUAAAAUUAAAGACUGAUACCAAGUGCUGGCAAGAAAGUGGAGCAAUGGGGCUUCUUGUGCCUUGUGGGGUUUCACUGUGUAGCUUUGGAGCCUAUCCUGGCACUCACUCUGGAGACCAGGCUGGCCUUGAACUCACAGACAUCCACCUGCCUCUGCCUCCCGAGUGCUGGGAUUAAAGGCAUGCGACACCAAUGCCCCGUACACUUUUAGAUCUUUACAUAAGUGAAAGACCCAUCCAAGAAUGGUCAAAGCUUUUCUGUGUUCCAACUCUACUUGGAACAGCCCCGGUGACUACCUAGAGAAUGGAGAAUUCUCCUGAUAGAAUCAGCUGGUGGAAUAUGACUCAGCAACAAAAGAGGCCAACUACCAAACACGAGCCACAACAUGAAUGAAUGUCCUAUGUGACUUAAAGAGGCACAGAGUCAACUCUACCCUGAGUCAAUUUCUGUGAAGACCCGAAACAAAUGAAACUAAUGUGGGGCGACAAGAUUAGAGCAACCUGGAAGGAGGAACGUUCUGGAGAGUUCGUAAUGUCUCUUGAUAGGAGUUUCAGUGACAUGGGUACAGGUGUCUGUUGCCUAAUGUGGAAAUAAGGUCUGUGCACUUCUUGUAUGUGAUUUUUAACCUUAGAAACAGUCUACAGAAAGGACUGGGGUUUGGUUCAGUGGCGGGGUGUUAGGAUAUGCGAGGCCCUGGGCUCUUUCCACACACGCAUACAUACUGCCAUUGUGUCGGGAAGUGAUUAGAAACAACAUACAUUGAUGUCUGUAACUUUCUUUGAAACACAUUCUCCCCACCCCCACACACAUAAUAAAUCAAUACUAAUUUUUAAAGGAGAAAAAAGGUACAAGGGAACUCCAAAGAUGGUCCUUCUCCUCUUCCAUCCCCAGCGUCUGUCCGAACUGGUUCAUUUCAUCCACCUGGACCACCUUUCAGACUCUCCCUCAACCCCAUAUAGACAUCCAACUAAUGGCCACUCUGCUCUCUCUUCCUCCACCCACUUCAGCCACGGUCCCAAAGAGCUGCACAACCAGCCUGGCCUGCCCACCUUCAGGCCAUUAGAAACAAGCUCAAUCUUAUUUCUGGUAAGCCAUUGCAUGUGGAUUUUUCUCUUAAAUCAACUGAAUGAAAUCUUAAAUGAUGCUUGAUCUCACCUACAGUGCUGCAGAUGACUUGAAGGCAAUACCUGGGAUCUGUUUGCCUCAAAGUGCUUGGCGGAACACAGAUUCUACAUAAAUUCUCGCAGGAGUGAGGGCACUCGAUGACAGCCAGAGGCACAGACACAGAAAACAGAAGACGCAGCCUGAGCGCCAGCCUGGAUAAGAAGGAGUUCACAACCCAGGCCUGGGCCGUGGCGGCGCACACCUUUAAUCCCAGCAUGCAGGAGGCAGAGGCAGGCGGAUCUCUGUGAGUUCAAGGCCAGCCUGGUCUACAGAGCAGUUUCAGCACAGCCCAGGCUACACAGAGAAACCCUGUCUCAAAAGAAAAAAAAAAAGAUACAAUCCAUAUUCCAUUCAGUUCACACAUUGAAAGUAUUCAGUAGGGACUGAGGAGAUGGCUUGGUGGGUAAAGUGGUUGCUGUGUAAACAUGAGAACCUGAGUUUGGAUCCCCAGAACUCACAUGCUCCUAUAAUCCCAACUCUGGGACGUGGAGAUGGGAGCACCCCUAGGGCUUUCUGGCCAGUCAUUCUAGCCUAUCAGAGACUCCAGGUUCAGUGAGAGACUCUGCCCUUAAACAUAAGGAAGAAUGCAAUAGAAGACACUGACAUUGACCUCUGACCUCCACAUGUGCAAGUGCUCUCCCAUACACAGGUGCAUACACAGCAGAGCAUACUAUAGAACGUCUUUAGUAUAGUAACAGAUUGUAAAUCACUCCUGAAGUCAAUCUGAUUUAUGCAUUUAUUUUAGGCAGAGUUCAGACCUAGGCUAGGCCCUGAAACCUUAUGGUGAUGACAAGAUUCCUAUCACCCGGCAUCCAUCCCCUAUGUGCCAGGAUUUAGGUUAUACAUAACCACAUUUAGCCCUGUGAUCAAUUUUUAGAAUAAUUUUAUUAUGUCAAAAAGAAAUCUUUACCAGGGUGUGGCAGCUCACAUCAUUAAUCCCAGCACUUGGGAAGCUGAGGCAGGAAGAGAGUCACAAGUCUGAGGCUAGGUAGUCUUAGGCUAUAUAGUGAGUUCAAGGCCAGCCUGUGCUAUAUAUCAAGACUUCUGUCCCAGGAGAGGAAGUGGAAGAGGAGGAAGAUGAAGAAGAAAUAAUUCAUUGUAUAUACUUUAUAUAAAUGGAAUUAGAAACUGAGUCUCAUCGCUCAGGUUUAUUAAACACAGCUACUCAAAAGUCUUAGGCAGAAGAAUGCAACGUUCAAGGCCUGACUAAGUGGCAUGUGAGUUCUAGGCCACCCAGGCCAACUUAGUAAGACUCUGUCUCAAAAUGAAAAAUGGAAUGGGUUGUAGUUCAGUGGUAGGAUGUAUGAGGUUCUAGAAUGUAUGCAGUUUUAUUUGGUACCAGGGAUUAUAAAUAGGGCUGGGGGAUACAGCUUCGUGGUAGAGUACUUGGCCAGUGUCUCACUUACUUUUCUAACCCUGUGACAAAAUGCCAUGACCAAGGCAACUUAUAAAAGAAAGAGUUUGAGUUUACAGUUUCAGAGGCCUAGAAUCCAUGAUGACAGAGCACAGCCAUGGCAACAAGAACAGCUAAGUGCUCACAUCUUCCCACGUGUAGGAGAUAAAGAGAGAACACUGGAAACGCCCGAGUCUAAUGCCCUAGUGAAGCCACAUCUCCUCCAAUAAGGCCACACCUCCUCCAACAAAGCCACACCUCCUAAUCCUUCCCAAACAGUUCCACCAACAGGGACCAAGCAAGUAUUCAAACAUCUGAGCCUAUGGGAGUCAUUCUCAUUCAAACCAUCACAACCAGCAUGUGCAAGGCCCUGAGUUCAUUCUCCAGCACACAGCAUACACAAACAGGAUUCUCUGGUAAUAGGAUACAUGGUCUUCUUGCUUAGCAAGUUUUCAAGGUUCAUGGGGGGCUGGGUCAGGUCAGUACUUCACUCAUUUUUAUUGCUGAAUAAGAGUCCAUUGUACACAUACAUUGUUUUUAUUUGCCAUCCAUCAG
rnacentral:lncRNA from 1 species